rnacentral:rRNA from 1 species
UACGUAGGGGGCUAGCGUUGUCCGGAAUCAUUGGGCGUAAAGAGCGUGUAGGCGGCCCGGUAAGUCCGCUGUGAAAGUCGGGGGCUCAACCCUCGGAUGCCGGUGGAUACUGUCAGGCUCGAGUACGGAAGAGGCGAGUGGAAUUCCUGGUGUAGCGGUGAAAUGCGUAGAUAUCGAGAGGAACACCUGCGGCGAAGGCGGGUUGCUGGGCUGACACUGACGCUGAAGCGCGAAAGCUAGGGGAGCGAACGGG